AACGAACGCUGGCGGCAGGCUUAACACAUGCAAGUCGAACGCCCCGCAAGGGGAGUGGCAGACGGGUGAGUAACGCGUGGGAACGUGCCCUUCGCUUCGGAAUAGCCCCGGGAAACUGGGAGUAAUACCGGAUACGCCGUAUUGGGAAAGAUUUAUCGGCGAAGGAUCGGCCCGCGUUAGAUUAGCUAGUUGGCGGUGUAAUGGACCACCAAGGCUACGAUCUAUAGCUGGUCUGAGAGGAUGAUCAGCCACACUGGGACUGAGACACGGCCCAGACUCCUACGGGAGGCAGCAGUGGGGAAUCUUGGACAAUGGGCGCAAGCCUGAUCCAGCCAUGCCGCGUGAGUGAAGAAGGCCUUAGGGUUGUAAAACUCUUUCGCCGGAGAAGAUAAUGACGGUAUCCGGAGAAGAAGCCCCGGCUAACUUCGUGCCAGCAGCCGCGGUAAU
rnacentral:rRNA from 1 species